UACGUAGGGGGCAAGCGUUGUCCGGAAUCAUUGGGCGUAAAGCGCGUGUAGGCGGCUUGGUAAGUCCGCUCUGAAAGCCCGGGGCUCAACCCCGGGAGGCGGGUGGAUACUGUCAAGCUCGAGUCCGGAAGAGGCGAGUGGAAUUCCUGGUGUAGCGGUGAAAUGCGUAGAGAUCCGGAAGAACACCGGUGGCGAAGGCGGUCUGCUGGGCAGUUGC
rnacentral:rRNA from 1 species